UGGCGAACGGGUGAGUAACGCGUGAGAAUUUGCCUUUAGGAAGAGGAUAACAGUUGGAAACAAUUGCUAAAACUCUAUAUGCCCUUACGGGUGAAAAAAGUAAUUUGCCUAAAGAGAAGCUCGCGUCUGAUUAGCUAGUUGGUGGGGUAAAGGCCUACCAAGGCGACGAUCAGUAGCUGGUCUGAGAGGACGAUCAGCCACACUGGAACUGAGACACGGUCCAGACUCCUACGGGAGGCAGCAGUGAGGAAUUUUCUGCAAUGGGCGAAAGCCUGACAGAGCAAUACCGCGUGAGGGAUGAAGGCCUACGGGUUGUAAACCUCUUUUCUCAAGGAGGAAGAUCUGACGUUACUUGAGGAAUAAGCAUCGGCUAACCCUGUGCCAGCAGCCGCGGUAAUACAGGGGAUGCAAGUGUUAUCCGGAAUUAUUGGGCGUAAAGCGUCUGCAGGUUGAUAUUUAAGUCUUUUGUUAAACCUUCGGGCUCAACCCGGAAUCUGCAAAGGAAACUAUAUAUCUUGAGUAUGGUAGGGGUAAAGGGAAUUUCCAGUGGAGCGGUGAAAUGCGUAGAUAUUGGAAAGAACACCAACAGCGAAGGCACUUUACUGGGCCAGUACUGACACUCAGAGACGAAAGCUAGGGGAGCAAACAGGAUUAGAUACCCUGGUAGUCCUAGCUGUAAACGAUGGAUACU
rnacentral:rRNA from 1 species